rnacentral:lncRNA from 1 species
GGACCUCUAUGCCUUAUAUGAAAUAAUAAUAAAUUAUGUAAGAUAUCAAAAAAUUAUAUAUAUUAUUUAGGAUAUCAUAUAAAAAUAUAAAAAAUUAUAUAUAUUAUUUAAAAUAUCAUAUAUAUUCACAAAAGAUCAUAUAUGUUGUUUAGGAUGUCAUAUAUAUAUAUUCACAUAAAGUUAUAUAAGGCAUCAAAAAAUUAUAUAUAUUAUUCAGGAUGUCAUAUAAAGACAUAGAAAGUUAUAUAAGGUAUGAAAAAAUCAUAAUAACCAAC